CCUCAACUAUUAGGAUGAAUAUUUGUUAUAUGUCCAAAAGCCCUCACUCUUGGUAUGUGGCAAUGCAACAUGUCUGCAACAGGAUCAGAGACGAGGAUCGAGAGAAAUAUUAUACUCGGUCAUCCUUUUGUAUCAACUGUAAAGGUGAGAUCCCACUUUCACGGAAAGCUUUCUCUUAUCCUUUUGUAUAAACCUAUUCCCAGGUUGCCAAAUCCUUAUUUUAAUUGUAGAUAUUACAGUCGUCUAACUAUUUUCGGCUCAUCUAAUAUGUUGUCUUCAGACUGUAGCAUUUAUGGGCGAGCAAUAGCGGUGACAAGCACAAUCACUGAUAGGUAAAAACAUAAGGUCGCCGGCCACAUGGAACUCCCUGUUUCAUGUUGUUUCUUAUGUGAUAAGUAGAUAACCCGCAAUGAAGGAUUAUGAGAAUAAUUUGCUUGCUAUACUAAAAAUCAUCUUUGUAAUUAUCUUUUAGCGUAAAAUUAUGUCUGGUUGGUCUAACCAGAUGGUGAAAGUGCAUGCAAUCUCUUUCACUACCUAUAUCUAUAUAGAAAUUCUGCUCCGAGGCUCAAUAAUGGUGCUUCUGUGCUUAAUUUGUUGCCACCUAUUGCAUAACGAAAUUGUUAGGUGUUUCACAUGUGUUCUUGAGCAUAAAGUAAGAUGCAUUACCAACAUUAUUUCAAAUGCAAAUAUAUCAUCUUCUACUCUGUACAUGUUUGUUGGAAUUCAUGAGGGUGCAAGAUUUAAGAAAUUUACAAGACCAAUUCUUUUGUACUAAUGGUGCGCUUAUGCUACUAUGCUACUAUGCAGGUAUAUGCUCAUGUUUUAGUUGCAUGGAUAUGGUCUUCUUAAGUAAGUUUUGCCUUUCAAGUUAGAUACAUACCUCCAUGUUGUCAAGGCAGACAAAAUGUUAAUGGUCUGAGAUUAAGACAUGUUUUAUAUUGAAUAAUUUAAUCAAUUGCUGCUAAACCCUGACUGCCAACUAUGUAGCAUUUUCUGCUUGCACAAAUUAAGAAAGACUCGGGUUAUUUUCCCUAAUUUAUUGUUCAGUUUAAAUGCACAGAUCUAGGAGUCUUCCUUUUGCCCUUUUGGUAUAGACUAUGGGUGCUUAAGUCACUCCUAAGUUUUGUUGCUACAUUUCAGUGCUUUCUACUAUCUGCUUCGAGUUACAGGGUAAAUCCAGAUGUUUCCACUCAUGCAUGUGUACUGUGGAGAGGGAGAUGCAGUUCAUACACAAAUGUAGUUUUAUAUGCACUUAACCUGUUUAGCUACGAGUAUGGAGAUUUUGUCUAAAUCCACGAAUACUUAUAUGUUGCAUCUAUUGAUGAACAAAUAUGUAAAAACUUUUGUUUGCAUCUCUCGAUGAACAAGGGGCUUACUCUUGAAUCACCUGAACUAUCUGUGAUCAUAUAGGUUAUCAAUCUACUAUGCGUUUAUAUGGGCUUAUUACUGCGGUUACAUCUUUCCUUCUACUGUCACUUCCGUUAUACUUAGGCCUACUACACACGCGUGAUAUAACAGCCGACUCGGCAGAAGCACCCAGCUGGACUGGAUAACCACGGCGUGCGCGUGCUGGAGGCCUAGCAGAAGGAGCUGCACACGCGGUGUCUGCAUCUUCGGCCUCGCUGCACCCCAGAAUCGAGUCACAUCGUUGUGGGUUGCGCUUUCUUAACACUAUUUGUCUCAGGGUGUAUUCCAUGGUUCAGAAUACAUGUACUUUAUAAUUUACAAUGCCUGGUUUGGAUAAAAACUGUUCCUUAAGCCUGUCAGAGGUUAUUUGAUAGCACUAUCCCCAGCUGCUAAUUUAUGCCUACAUACCUGUAUCCAUUACCAUUAUUGAAUUCUGCACAAAAACUGGUUUGUUGGCUUGUUCACUGUUGUCAUAAUGCUUCUGAUGUUUUAUGUUCAGUUAAAUAAAAC
rnacentral:lncRNA from 1 species